GCUGUGAUGGCCGAGUGGUUAAGGCGUUGAAUUUGAAAUUCAAUGGGGCUUCCCCUCGUAGGUUCGAAUCCCGCUCGGAGCG